AACUAAGUUUGCUAUUGGUAUGAGCUUUCGUGUGCAUGCACACUUCUUCAGAUACACACUUCAGAUAUUUGAAGAAGUCUGCAUUCACACGAAAGCACAUACCAAUAACAAACUUAGGUGG